rnacentral:rRNA from 1 species
AGCAGCCGCGGUAAUUCCAGCUCCAAUAGCGUAUAUUAAAGUUGUUGCAGUUAAAAAGCUCGUAGUUGAACUUCAGGCCUGUCCAGACGGUCCGCCUUAAUUGGUGUGUACUGUCCUUGGGUGGGUCCUACCUUCUGGCGAAGCGGCAUGGCCUUAAUUGGUUGUGUCGGGGAACCAGGACUUUUACUGUGAAAAAUUAGAGUGUUCAAAGCAGGCAAAUAUGCUCGAAUACAUUAGCAUGGAAUAAUGGAAUAGGACGAUGGUUCUAUUUUGUUGGUUCUAGGACCGUUGUAAUGAUUAAUAGGGAUAGUUGGGGGCAUUAGUAUUCAAUUGUCAGAGGUGAAAUUCUUGGAUUUAUUGAAGACUAACUACUGCGAAAGCAUUUGCCAAGGAUGUUUUCAUUAAUCAAGAACGAAAGUUAGGGGAUCGAAGACGAUCAGAUACCGCCGU